rnacentral:rRNA from 1 species
GCACAAGCGGUGGAUGAUGUUGGUUUAAUCGAUGCAACGCGAAAACCUUACCCACCUUUGACAUGUACGGAAUCCUUUAGAGAUAGAGGAGUGCUCGAAAGAGAACCGUAACACAGGUGCUGCAUGGCUGUCGUCAGCUCGUGUCGUGAGAUGUUGGGUUAAGUCCCGCAACGAGCGCAACCCUUGUCAUUAGUUGCUACAUUCAGUUGGGCACUCUAAUGAGACUGCCGGUGACAAACCGGAGGAGGUGGGGAUGACGUCAAGUCCUCAUGGCCCUUAUAGGUGGGGCUACACACGUCAUACAAUGGCCGGUACAGAGGGUAGCCAACCCGCGAGGGGGAGCCAAUCCCACAAAGCCGGUCGUAGUCCGGAUCGCAGUCUGCAACUCGACUGCGUGAAGUCGGAAUCGCUAGUAACCGUGGAUCAGCAUGUCACGGUGAAUACGUUCCCGGGUCUU